CUUACCUUUAUUCUACAACUUGACUGAGAUUGACUCUUGUUUCAAUCCUAGAUGUCCUUCAUGACCUAGAAAACCACCCUAUCCAAAGCACUAAAUUUCAGAAAGAUCCUGAAUUCCACUUGUCCUGGACCUCAUAUAAUCCUUCAUCUGCAGAGCUAUUUUAUCUCCAGAAUCCCACCAGAGCAAGUUACAUCUUAUAUGUGCAGUUCUGGAUGGAAAAUGUGAUGAACUAUAAGAACUCCUCCAGUGCAUGCUGAAAAAGGAAAAAGGAAGCUAUACUACCCCAAGCCACUGGAAACAUCACCUAAUGAUUUCAAACGCAUUCCUCUUUGUCUGAAUGCAUUCCAACCAAAAGUUAUUUCUAACCACCUAGUAUUCCAGGGUGCUGGUGUGUGUGCAGCCAUCUCCCUUUAUAUUUUAUUAAAGGUGGAAUCAAGGAUUGCAUCUAGCCUAUGUUCAAACUUUUUAAUGGAAUCAAAAUCCUCUAAGGAUUAUCUUAAAUCCAGGUAAUACUGUUAAGUGGAACCUCAAUGUAGCCAAAUAGCUGCAUGGUUAGAAACAUGUAUCUCUGUCUCCUUAAAGUGAUCCCAUGAAUCUGGGUUUCUGUCUCCGAUCCACUUAAAUGUUGGCAUAUGUAUUAUGAGGAAACACAUUGAUGGAAACUCAAAAAACACUCAAACAAAUGCCAGGAUGUCUCUGUAUAAGGAUGGUUUGGAAAAAUUCUAUCAGUCUAAUCCAUCUCAUUUAAUCUCAUCUUCUGAAAGACCCAAAUUCUAUUCCAUUCCUGUGAAUAAGACUAUCUUUUUUCCUUAUCCAGUAUCUUCUUCUCCUUUUCUGUGUCAGUACCCCCCAGCUUAUGCAUCAGCCAAACAGCUCCCCUUUUCCAGGGCAACCUCAAGUUUUACUUCCUACUGAUGCCUUCCUAAUGCAUAUUAAUUUCCAGAGCCUGUCUCAUUUGUGAAACUUGCAAUUCCCCCCAUACCCAAGUCACUGCAGAGGCCAGGCCAGGACCUGUGUUCAGCUUUGCUUUCUCUGCAUGGCACUAGGCUCAAGGCACAAGCAGCCACUUAUCAUGGAGAAAGUUAUCAUCAUGACAUAGUAGUUCCCCCAGACACUGUGUAGCAUUUUUAUGAUUAUAUGUUUGCAGUACAUAAUAAUUAUAUUCAUUGUGGGCAAUCACAUGUUCGUGGACAUAACACAUCUUAAUUCAUUUUUGCAUCCCCUUUCCCUCCCCUUGGUUUGCGCCUCCCUCCACUUCUUGGUCACCGUCCCUUUUGCAAAUGAUCUCCAUGCUUCCUAUUAUCUAUCUUUUAUUUUGCUCUUUAAUUUAUUUAUAUUUUGGGUUUCUCAUAUAAGAGAAACUAUGCAAUAUUUAAGCUUGUAUAUCUGGUUUAUUUUACCUAACAUAUUGCACCUAUUUUUCCCACAAAUGACUCAAGUUUACCCUUCUUUAUGGCAGAGUAGUAUACCAUUCUAUAUAAAUACCACGUUUUCUUUUCUUUUUUUUUUUUUUUGGCACUGAGGAUUGAACUUGGGUCCUUGCGCUUGUGCCGCAGGUGAUGAAACAACUGAGCUAAAUUCCCGGCCAUGUUUUCUUUAUUUAUUCAUCUGUUGAUGGGCAUAUAGGCUGCUUUCAAGAGUUAGCUAUUGUGAGUUAUGCUAUUAUUAAUAUGGGUAUGAAUGUAUCACUGGAAUAUGAUGUAUUUAAUUCUUUCAAGAAGAUACCCAGUAGGAGAAUAGCUGAGUUGAGUGGGACUUCUACUUUUAGUUUUUGAAGAGCCUACAUACUGAUUUCCAUAGUAGUUCUAUUAGUUUGCAGUCCUACCAAGAAUGUAGAAAGGUUUCUUUUCUCCUGCAGCUUCACCAGCAUUUGUUAUUAUGUGAUUUCUUUAUAAUAGCCAUUCUUUCUAGAGUAAGAAUCUCAGUGUUGGAUUUUUGAAUGAGAGGUCAUCAUUUUACAGAGGA
ensembl:lncRNA